CAGAUUUUAAAAUCAUUUGGCACAUUUGUUCACCAUCAUUGGACGGUGUGUCGUGCGAAAUAAUUACGUCGAUAUCUCCAAGGUCAAGGUCACACUUUGAGUUCAAAGGUCAAAAAUGGCCAUAAAUGAGCUUGUCCUGGCCAUAACUAUGUCAUUCAUUGUGAGAUUUUAAAAUCAUUUGGCACAUUUGUUCACCAUCAUGGGACGGUGUGUCCCACGAAAGAAUCACGUCAAUAUCUCCAAUGUCAAGGUCGCCACGACUAAAAAUAGAUUUAAAAAAAAAAAAAAAAACUUACAAAG